rnacentral:tRNA from 1 species
GGGGAUGUAGCUCAAUGGUAGAGUUUUUGCCUAUCAUGCUUAGGGACCUGGGUUCAAUCCCUAGUAGUACCU